rnacentral:rRNA from 1 species
CACUCCUGCGGGAGGCAGCAGUGGGGAAUAUUGGACAAUGGGCGCAAGCCUGAUCCAGCCAUGCCGCGUGAGUGAUGAAGGCCCUAGGGUUGUAAAGCUCUUUUGUGCGGGAAGAUAAUGACGGUACCGCAAGAAUAAGCCCCGGCUAACUUCGUGCCAGCAGCCGCGGUAAUACGAAGGGGGCUAGCGUUGCUCGGAAUCACUGGGCGUAAAGGGUGCGUAGGCGGGUCUUUAAGUCAGGGGUGAAAUCCUGGAGCUCAACUCCAGAACUGCCUUUGAUACUGAAGAUCUUGAGUUCGGGAGAGGUGAGUGGAACUGCGAGUGUAGAGGUGAAAUUCGUAGAUAUUCGCAAGAACACCAGUGGCGAAGGCGGCUCACUGGCCCGAUACUGACGCUGAGGCACGAAAGCGUGGGGAGCAAACAGGAUUAGAUACCCUAGUAGUCC